GUCCCGGCGGUAAACGAUGGGCACUAGGUGUCGGAGGUAUCGACCCCUCCGGUGCCGCAGUUAACACAUUAAGUGCCCCGCCUGGGGAGUACGACCGCAAGGUUGAAACUCAAAGGAAUUGACGGGGGCCCGCACAAGCGGUGGAGUAUGUGGUUUAAUUCGACGCAACGCGAAGAACCUUACCUGGGCUUGACAUGUAACGGACAGGGUUAGAGAUAACCCUUCGUCUUCGGACGUCGUUGCACAGGUGCUGCAUGGCUGUCGU
rnacentral:rRNA from 1 species